GACGAACGCUGGCGGCGUGCCUAAUACAUGCAAGUCGGACGCAGUUGCGAACGGGUUAGUACCGCGUUGGUAACUCCCUUUUAUAGGGGGAUAACUAUUGGCAACGAUAGCUACUACCGCAUACUAGUAGAUGGACCUGCGUUGUAUUAGGUAGUAGGUAGGGUACUGGGCUACCUAGGCGACGAUACAUAGCCGACGUGGGAGGGUGAACGGCCAGACUGGGACUGAGAAAAGGCGCAGACGGCUACGGGAGGCAGCAGUAGGGAAUCUGCGGGAAAGGGGGGAAUCGUGGCAGAGCAACGGCGGGGGAGUGAAGAAGGUGUUCGGAUCGUAAAGCUCUGUUGUUAAGGAAGCGGUACUUAACGAAAAAGGGACGGCUAACUACGUGCCAGCAGCCGCGGUAAUUC
rnacentral:rRNA from 1 species